ensembl:lncRNA
GUGUAGUUAAGGUGUAGUUAGUGUAGUUAAUGUGGUUAAGGUGUAGUUAAUGUGGUUAAGGUGUAGUUAAGGUGGUUAAGGUGUAGUUAGUGUAGUUAGUGUGUAGUUAGUGUGGUUAAUGUAGUUAAUGUGUAGUUAAGGUGUAGUUAAUGUGGUUAAGGUGUAGAUAAUGUGGUUAAGGUGUAGUUAAUGUGUAGUUAGUGUGGUUAAGGUGUAGUUAAGGUGGUUAAGGUGUAGUUAAGGUGGUUAGCGUGGUUAAUGUGGUUAAGGUGUAGUUAGUGUGGUUAAGGUGUAGAUAAUGUGGUUAAGGUGUAGUUAAGGUGUAGUUAAGGUGUAGUUUGUGUGGUUAAGGUGUAGUCAGUGUGGUUUAUGUGUGUUAACUGCUUCCAUGUUGUUGUUGUUGUUGUUGUUGUUGUUGUUGGGCCACAGGACACCCUCCUAAGUGCUGUGUGGCUGUUUCCAAGCGCAUCCCACGCCACGUGCUCAAGGACAUGCUGAGGUACGAGGUGCAGCGCAGCUCAGGACUCUGUGACAUCGACGCCAUCAUAAUAUACACACGGAGGAUAAAACGAGUCUGCGCCCAUCCAAGGAUUAAGAAACAUCUGGAUCUACUGAUGAAAAAGGAACGGCAUCUCGCCAUGAAGAUCGCAGCACCAUGAGCCCUGAGCUUAAGGACUGGACACCUGGGGAUGACUUUGCUGUUCCAUGUGUCUGAGUUUGGGCAUUCUGCUUCUUAUUGCACCAUAAGGAAAUACAAAUAAUCAAAUAAUGUACUACAGAGGAAAUGCUUUGAGUGCGGCAGCUGGAAAUUGACCCCUGUGUUUCAAAUAAGCCUUUCUUGCUUACUGUGUUUACAGUGUUUCAAAUAAGCCUUUCUUGCUUACCGGUGUUUAGGUGACUGAAUAAAGGUGACUAUCCUGACAUCAAG